AACGAACGCUGGCGGCAGGCCUAACACAUGCAAGUCGAACGAGACCUUCGGGUCUGGUGGCGCACGGGUGCGUAACGGGUGGGGACCUGCCCUUAGGUUCGGAAUAACUCGCCGAAAGGGGUGCGAAUACGGGAGAAUGUCUUCCGACCAAAGAUUUGUCGCCCUUGGAUGGGCCUCCGUUGGCUUACAUAGUUGGGAGGGUAAAAGCCUACCAAUGCUACGAGCCAUAGCUGGUAUGAGAGGAUGAUCAGCCACACUGGGACUGAGAAACGGCCCAGACUCCUACGCGAGGCAGCAGUGGGGAAUACUGGAAAACGGGCGAAAGGAUGAUCCAGCAAUGACGCGUGAGCGAUGAAAGCCUGAGGGUUGUACAGCUAUUUUAUCCCGGACGAUAAUGACAGUACCGGGAGAAUAAGCUCCGGCUAACUCCGUG
rnacentral:rRNA from 1 species